GAUGAAGAACGUAGCGAAAUGCGAUACGUAAUGUGAAUUGCAGAAUUCAGUGAAUCAUCGAGUCUUUGAACGCACAUUGCGCCCUCUGGUAUUCCGGAGGGCAUGCCUGUCCGAGCGUCAUUGCUGCCCUCAAGCACGGCUUGUGUGUUGGGCCCCGCCCCCCGAUCCCGGGGGGCGGGCCCGAAAGGCAGCGGCGGCACCGCGUCCGGUCCUCGAGCGUAUGGGGCUUUGUCACCCGCUCUGUAGGCCCGGCCGGCGCCUGCCGAUCAACCAAACUUUUUUCCAGGUUGACCUCGGGUCAGGUAGGGAUACCCGCUGAACUUAAGCAUAUCAAUAAGCGGAGGA
rnacentral:misc_RNA from 1 species